rnacentral:rRNA from 1 species
GUGAGGAAUAUUGCGCAAUGGAGGCAACUCUGACGCAGCCAUGCCGCGUGCAGGAAGAAGGCGCUACGCGUUGUAAACUGCUUUUAACCGGGAAGAAACCCCAGGACGUGUCCUGGGUUGACGGUACCGGAGGAAUAAGCACCGGCUAACUUCGUGCCAGCAGCCGCGGUAAUACGAAGGGUGCAAGCGUUAUCCGGAUUCAUUGGGUUUAAAGGGUGCGUAGGCGGAGCGUUAAGUCAGUGGCGAAAUCCUGCAGCUUAACUGUAGACUUGCCAUUGAUACUGGCGCUCUUGAGUGCGCUUGAAGUGGGCGGAAUGUGCCGUGUAGCGGUGAAAUGCUUAGAUAUGGCACAGAACACCAAUUGCGAAGGCAGCUCACUAAGGCGAUACUGACGCUGAGGCACGAAAGCGUGGGGAUCGAACAGGAUUAGAAACCCGUGUAGC